rnacentral:sRNA from 1 species
AUAUCCGGGUUCCCGCCGCCUCCACCGCCGCCGCCUCAGCCGCCUCGCACAUUUAGUCUUGCGGGGAGUGGUGUGAUUCCCGACCAAGAUGGCGGCCGUGGGGCGAGUCGGCUCUUUCGGUUCUUCUCCGCCGGGAUUAUCCUCGACUUACACUGGCGGCCCCUUGGGCAACGAGAUAGCGUCGGGCAACGGUGGCGCUGCGGCAGGCGACGACGAGGACGGGCAGAACCUUUGGUAACGACUCCACCCCUCCCUCAGCCCCCGCUGGCUCCCCCGGCCUUGCGCGGACGCCUCGGGAUCCCGUGCCCGCUGGAGCUCGGCGCCGGGCCCGGCCACUGCGUUCCCGGCAGCCCCAUCUCCGGCACGCCGAGGCCAGGUCCGUCCCUCCCGCGCUGCGGCUCUGGCCUCCGGCCUCACCGUACGCCUUGCUUCCCGUUAGGUCCUGCAUCCUCAGCGAGGUCUCCACCCGCUCGCGCUCCAAGCUCCCUGCGGGGAAGAACGUGCUACUGCUGGGUGAAGAUGGAGCUGGAAAAACAAGCUUAAUAAGAAAAAUUCAGGGAAUAGAAGAGUAUAAGAAAGGAAGAGGAUUGGAAUAUUUGUACUUA